rnacentral:rRNA from 1 species
GUAGUCUGCAACUCGCCUGCAUGAAGUCGGAAUUGCUAGUAAUCGCAGAUCAGCAUGCUGCGGUGAAUACGUUCCCGGGCCUUGUACACACCGCCCGUCACACCAUGGGAGUCGGUAACACCCGAAGUCGGUAGCCUAACCGUAAGGAGGGCGCCGCCGAAGGUGGGAUUGAUGACUGGGGUGAAGUCGUAACAAGGUACC